rnacentral:rRNA from 1 species
AUACGUAGGGUGCAAGCGUUAAUCGGAAUUACUGGGCGUAAAGCGUGCGCAGGCGGUUUUGUAAGACAGAGGUGAAAUCCCCGGGCUCAACCUGGGAACUGCCUUUGUGACUGCAAGGCUAGAGUACGGCAGCGGGGGGUGGAAAUCCGCGGGGAACAGGGCAAAGCGUAGAUAUGCGGAGGAACACCGAUGGCGAAGGCAAUCCCCUGGGCCUGUACUGACGCUCAUGCACGAAAGCGUGGGGAGCAAACAGGAUUAGAUACCCUGGUAGUCCACGCCCUAAACGAUGUCAACUGGUUGUUGGGUCUUCAUUGACUCAGUAACGAAGCUAACGCGUGAAGUUGACCGCCUGGGGAGUACGGCCGCAAGGUUGAAACUCAAAUGAAUUGGCGGGG